rnacentral:tRNA from 1 species
GCUUUCAUGCUCACUUGGUUUCCAUAGACGCAGAGAAAACCCCCGCGACCCGGGUUCGAAUCCCGGCGGGAGCA